rnacentral:rRNA from 1 species
ACAUUUCGAAAGGGAUGCUAAUACCGCAUACGUCCUACGGGAGAAAGCAGGGGACCUUCGGGCCUUGCGUUAAUAGAUGAGCCUAGGUCGGAUUAGCUAGUUGGUGGGGUAAUGGCCCUACCAAGCCUACGAUACGUAGCCUGUUCUGAGAGGACGAUCAGUGACGGGUAGCUGGUCUGAGAGGAUGAUCAGCGCUGGUUUGAGAGGAUGAUCAGCCACACUGGGACUGAGACACCGGCAAGACUCCUACGGGAGGCAGCAGUGGGGAAUAUUGCGCAAUGGGGGAAAGCCUGAUCCAGCAAUGCCGCGUGAGUGAUGAAGGCCUUUUGGUUGUAAAGCACUUUCACUAGGGAGGAAAGGGUGAGUCUUAAUACGGCUCAUCUGUGACGUUACCUACAGAAGAAGGACCGGCUAACUACGUGCCAGCAGCCGCGGUAAUACAGAAGGAUGCGAGCGUUAAUCGGAAUUACUGGGCGUAAAGCGCGCGCAGGCGGUUUGUUAAGCGAGAUGUGAAAGCCCUGGGCUCAACCUAGGAAUAGCGAUUGAAACUGGCAGGCUUGAGUCUUGUAGAGGGGGGUAGAAUUCCAGGUGUAGCGGUGAAAUGCGCAGAGAUCUGGAGGAAUACCGAUGGCGAAGGCAGCCAUCUGGCCUAAUACUGACGCUGAGGUACGAAAGCAUGGAGCAAACAGGACGAAAGCGUGGAGCAAACAGGAUUAGAUACCCUGGGUAUCCACGCCCUAAACGAUGAUUUAGCCGUCGGGCAGUAUACUGUGGUCGGAGUUUGGUGUCUUGAACACUGGGCUCUCAAGCUAACGCAUUAAGUAGACCGCCUGGGGAGUACGGCCGCAAGCACCGCCUGGGGAGUACGGCCGCAAGGCGCCUGGGGAGUACGGCCGCAAGCACCUGGGGAGUACGUUCGCAAGAAUGAAACUCAAAGGAAUUGACGGGGGCCCGCACAUCUUGGAAUUGACGGGGGCCCGCACAAGCGGGUGGAGCAUGUGGUUUAAUUCGAAGCAACGCGAAGAACCUUACCAGGCCUUGACAUGCCUUGAGAACUUUCCAGAGAUGGAGAGGUGCCUUCGGGAGCUCUGACACAGGUGCUGCAUGGCUGUCGUCAGCUCGUGAAAAAAAUGUUGGGUUAAGUCCCGCAACGAGCGCAACCCUUGCCCUUAGUUGCCAUCGCGUAAUGGCGGGUUUAGUUGCCAUCGUUAAGUUGGGCAGCGCGUAAUGGCGGGAACUCUAAGGACACCGCCGGGGUCAACUCGGAGGAGGUGGGGAUGACGUCAAGUCCUCAUGGCCUUUUAUGUCCUGGGCUACACACGUGCUACAAUGGUUGGUACAGAGGGCCAAACCGCGAGGUGGAGCUAAUCCCGUAAAACCGUUCGUAGUCCGGAUUGGAGUCUGCAACCGACCCCAUGAAGUCGGAGUCGCUAGUAAUCGCGAAUCAGAACGUUACGGUGAAUACGUUCCCGGGCCUUGUACACACCGCCCGUCACACCAUGGGAGCGGGUUUUACCAGAAGUAGGUAGCUUAACCGCAAGGAGGGCGCUUACCACGGUAGGAUUCGUGACUGGGGUGAAGUCGUAACAAGGUAGCCCUAGGGGAACCUGGGGCUG